rnacentral:piRNA from 1 species
UAGGCUUCUCACCUAAGUAAACCCAUUAAG